ensembl:snoRNA small nucleolar RNA SNORA44
ACGCAUGCUAUCCUAAGGAUCCAGGCUUGUCUGUAGUUCUGGGUUCUCCAUGUGCGUGCAAGAAAACAGGGCAGUCUUUGACUGCUGUGGCCUCAUGUCAUCAGCAGCCACUCAGCUGUCCGACAGUA